CAGCCCCCGCCUCACCAGCCUGCCUUCUCCAAAUUGCAAAGCACAGGGGUGCAUCCCCCAGGGGGACCGACUGUUCAGCCCCUCUCUGCCUCCUCCAUCAGGAGAGAGGUGUGCAUAACCCAGAGCGCCUCCAGCUCAGCAUCCGUCUGGAAAGCACACGUUCCCCCAUCGGGCCUGCUGGUGACAAGGGUCCUUGGAGCCUCUACUGAAGACUGCCAGUCUGAAGGAAGCUUACCACAAGGGCUGAUGGAGCACAAGAAGGUGACAGGUGGCCAUGGCUUCGUGGCUCCUGGAGCCCAGGAUGCUCCAGCCCCCAGGGGACAGCCACCUGAGCCCUCCCCCCACCCCCCCAGCUGAAACUGCCAUCGGACGGACCCCUCGGGCGGGCCUCAGGCCUUUUCCGUUUGGACCUCCGGAGCCGUGGCCCGCUGUGAACCUGGGGAAGGGCCGGCAGCGGGACAGGGGGGCAGCGGACAGGGGACCCCUGCAGGGCAACCGCAGAGGCCUCCUUCCCCGCUCUGGCUCCCCACAGCCUUCCGUGCCUUCACCUGUCAACCUGGGAGGCCCCGGCACCCAGAGGAGCAAACUGUGGGGUCCGUCUGAGGGAGCAGUGGGACACAACCAUUCCGGAGUCAGACACGCCCUACAGGGAGCGCCACCAGCGAGGGCACAAAGCCAGCCACAGACGCGAGUGAUGAAGAGGUUCUAAAAUUCACCAUCAAGGCAGGUACACACAGCUGUGAAUAUACGAAAACCCACUGAAUUGCACACUUGAAAUGGGUGAAUUGUGUGUCAGGUAAAAUGUAAGUCAAUCAAGCUGUUUAAAACAAAACAACUGGGGACCGGCUCCUCCCCUCUCCUGGCCCAGCAGGGGUGGGGGGCAGGGGCAGGGUGGGGGGGCGGGGAGGAGAGCAAGCCUCCCCGCUCCACGUGGGGCCCCGGCCGGGGACCCCGGCGUGCCCUCACGGCCGAGGCAGCUGCUGCGGGCGUGGGCGCCCCGACUCCACACACUUGGCCACGAGAACAUAAAGGGCAGAAUCCAGCUCGCGAUUUCACGUUCAGCACGCACCGGAACGGGCACCGUUUCCCAGAAGUGAGAUAAAGUGUUAAGUUACUUCCACGG